GCCGAUGAUGACCCCUCCCCUAGCUGAAGAGUGAUGAAUUUGCCGAUUACUGAGGU
rnacentral:snoRNA from 1 species